ACCAGCUCAGGCUGGUCUCUAAAUGGCAGGUGCCCGUAGUCCCAGCUACUAGAGAGGCUAAUAUAAGAGAAUCGCUUGAGCCCAUGAAUUUGAGGUUGCUGUAAGCUAUGAAGCCAUGGCACUCUACCAAGGGUGACAAAGUGAGACUCUGUCUCAAAAUAAAUAAAUAAAUAAGAAUAAAAAGAUAAGUGUCCGCUUUAAAAUAUAAGUUAACCCUUUUAAGAGACAAUCCCAAGAAGCUGCAUGUGCCUUUAAGAAGGCCAGGCAUCCUCCUGGUCCUCUUCUUUGCCUACACUCUCCCUGAGAGCUCUCACCCACUCAGAACCUUACUGCCUAAAAACAGGUUGAACCCAGACGUGUAGCUGUGCCUGAGACCUGUCCUUUGAACUCCUGACCACCUGCUCAGCUCUGCCACUUGGACACCUCACAGACACCUCAAACUUAACAUGCCCCAAAUCUAACUCCAGUGUUUUACUCCCACUCCUCUGCCUCCUCACCCCCUCCCUCAUCCACCAAUACUGGUCUCCAUCUCUGAAAAGAGUGGCUGUAUUCCUUAGGCAGAGGCCUCAGUACUCCCCGACUCUUCUCACUCUGUUACCAAUCUGACAACAGAUUCCCUGUUCCAUGAGGGAAAGAUUCAGAGUCUGGCCACUUCUCACAGAGUGCCUCCUUUAUCGGAGGCACCACCAUCUCCUAGGCAGCUGCAACAGCCUCCUAACAGGUAUCUGUUUCCACCCUUGCCCUCCCACCCAGCCAGUUCCUGAGAUAUGGCUAAAGUGAACCUGUCAAUGGCGAGGACAGAGCAUUUCUUUUUUUUUUGAGACAGAGUUUCAAGCUGUCACCCUGGGUAGAAUGCUGUGGCAUCAUAGCUCACAGCAACCGCCAUUUCUUGGGCUGAAGCGACCCUCUUGCCUUUGUUUUUCUAUUUUUAGUAGAGAGGAGGGGUCUCCCUUUUGCGCAGGCUGGUCUCGAACUCCUGAGCUCAAGCAAUCCACCCACCUCGGCCUCUCAGAGUGGGAGGAUUACAGGCGUGAGCCACCGCACCCAGACAGGACAGGGCAUUUUAUUCCUUUGCUCAAAAACCUUCCACACCUCCUAUUUUGGAACCUGGUAACUUCACACAGCUUGACCUCCCUGACUUGUCUUCCAGCUGGCCUGGCUGCUGGCCCUAGGACUCAAGGCCAACAUUGCUUUUGUAAAAGGAAAGUCUCAGGGCCACCUCCUAUGCAAAAGAGAAAUUCAGAGCCUCGGACACCUAGGAGAGCAGGGCCCAUAGAUCAUUCAUUAAGGAUAUUUCUUACUAACCUCUCAUAAACCAGAACAGCAAGUUAUACCUAUGUUUAAAAACUGAAACUAAAGCCUGUCCGAUUCCACGCUAAUAAUGAAUUAGAUCUUUAUCUUACAAUAGAACUGAACACAAGGCAGAAACAAACAUUCUUCCACCGACCCUGGGACAUGCUUCCUUCGAUCCCUUAUUUUAUGUAAAAUGUAGAUUUCUUGAGCCUCACGAGAAUGUAGCCACUACCUCAUUUGCCCCCCUACUCCCUUGCCUUUAUCCUUCCCUCUGUUGCCUUUAAAAUGCUGAGGUUCCAACCUCCACAGCUUGUCUGUGGCUCCAGUUUUUCCUGGGCGCAUCAUCAAAAUCUUGGAUUAAUAAACCUUCAUUGAUUGAGAGUUUUGCCUCAGUCAUUUAUUUGGGUAGAUACAUUAAACUAGACAUACGAGAUUUAGAAGAGCGGGGACCGAAUUAGCAAAGAAAACCGAUUUAAAAGACCAGGCCACGCCCUUCUCGCAGACCGGACUUCCCCUUUAAGAGGAUCUCCUGCCGGUCCAUCUCCACCUCCCUUGAGCUAAACUAGCAACAGAUUUACAAUCGCCAGGACUCAAGAGUUUUUCCUUCAAUGUCUGAAAAACUGCUACUGGCCUUUAAUAAGCCCAUCUCCUUUUAAGAGAAGGAAAAAAAUUAAAACCACCCGGAAGCAAAGCCUGCUUCCUCCCUUUUAAUGCGGCCUCUUGCCCUUUAAGAGGGCGGAGCCAACUCGGGGAACAAAAGUCGGCGGUGAAAUAGCUACGCCCCUUUAAGCCAUGUCUUCCGGUUUCACGCUCCUAAACGUCUCCGCCCUCCGGUCCCUCCCCCACCCCCACCCCUCCGGUCUCUCACCUGUGGCCCCGAUCCGGGGAACGAGGAGUCCCCAGGCACUUUGGCAUCUGGCCAAUAAUACCACAUCCCAGGUGUUUUGGGGGCCUUUCCUUCCAUCCCAUGCCAACGAGACCAGGGUCCUUGUUCAGCCUCAGACCCUCUGAGCCCACCCACCUGUCUCCAGUCAGCUAGGCCUCCUUGCACCUGGAAUAUGGAGACCCCACCACGCAACCCCCUCUGGAGAGGGAGUGACCGGCUUGUGAGUGAUUCUGAUCAAUGGCAGAACACAGAAGAAGGGCCCACAGCCCCAGCUGGGCACCUUGCCCAGGCCCUCCUGUACCAACCAGGACGUUGGCAUCCUCGAGCAUCCCGAGGCUGGAGUGCACCACCCGCUGUGUGUCCUGCCUGACCUGGCCCGGGACAGAGCUGGCUGGCAGAUGUUAGUUUUGGCUCCUGGGGUGUGGAAUGCAAGUUUUGAAAGGAGGGCUACCAGGUGUGAAAACAUAAUAAAGUGUGUAUUUUGGACUAGCAUGUCCCAGCUAUAUGUUGGCAGCCCCUUGCCUACCUGGGGUCAGUCCUGCCCUCUAAUCCUCCAGAGACGUUGGAGACCAAAGCAUGGGCCCUUUGCCUCUGUGCCUGAGGACUGGAGGGGAAUAGGACAGGGAAACAUCCAGGCCAUGCCCCAACACCAAGAGGCAUGGACUCUAGGACAUCUCACACACAUCACUCAGUACCUGCCAGGGGCAGUACAGAGAUUAAGAGUGAGUACCAAGGGAAGACUGAGGAGUGUUCAGCACCUAAGGGACAACACAGAGACUGCAGAGGGCACAGAGGAGACGGUGACAGAAACAGAGAUGAUGAGAGGAGCAGAGACGGGCACAAAUGGUGGGAGACAUGGAGAAACAGGAAGAGAAUCAUAGACGAAAACCAGGGAGGGGCAGAGGAGGAGAGGAUGAGGGCCAAGGAGAUAGCAAUGGAGCUGGAGAAAUCACAGCUGCAGUGAGAGGGACCAUGGGCAGGGUGCAAGAGGCCACUGGGGGUCUGGAGACCCUUGAAGACAUUCAAGAGAAAGAAGACAGGCCCGUUAUGUCCCCAACACAGAUGCCUGCCUCACUAGGUCCCCAACUCUGCCUGAGCCCACGGUUAGCCCUGCAGCAGUACUGAGUGUGGGAGGGACAGCAGUCACCAUGUAUUUGCCUGGCUAGUGAGGAAGGUUCUGGGCAACUGGCUGUCCUACUGCAGUGGGUCCAACGGUUCUGUGCUGCCUACCACACGCUCACAGGCACCUGGACCUCCAGCAAUAGCUCCAGCUGACUCAGCACUACUCUCUAGUGUCCCCACCUGCCCACCCUGGGCCCACCCACGUCUCUGCUGCUGACGCUGCCCUUGACACUGAUGGCCAGUAGCAGGCCUGGCAAGCACAGUCAUGAUCUCAGGACAUAGGAAGAUCCAG